ACACGUAUACACCAACACACGUUCGUUAUUUGUUCUUCUUUGUUUUCAUUCGCUGAAGAAAAAGAAGAUCACGGGUAGGAACACGGCGCGUGCGCACUCUUGCAGAAGUUGCCAAUUAGUGAAUGACACGAAACUUUCGAGCAAAAAUCGCACACGUUUUAAUACAGUUAUUGCAGUUUUUUGCUGGAUGAAGUAACAAACAAGAUCGAACUAACACUGCCGCAACGAUUUACACAGUGUCCAUGUCGCAGUUUGGCCAACUGGUAGUAUGGUCGCUGCUACCGGUUUCGUUGGCUUUCAACUACGCUGGCCUUUCGUCUUCGCUAGUUCUGAAGAUUACUGCAUGGACAAAACAGCACGAGCUGAAACAUGAGGCUAGCGGCUAUCCCGCGCGUUGGAUCAGCGGAGCGCCGAGGAGUGGGAGAGGGCUGGACGAGAGGGUCCAUCGUCGCUGGCAUCGAAAUGGAGCCAAGCACAGACAGAUACAUAGAUGGACAGGUAACGGCAGCGAGCACAGGGAACAUUUGCGGUUAUACGAAUAUAGCAGUUCAGCGCUCCUAAAGGGCACCGAGGCUGAAAAAAGAGCGAAUUUUGCGGAAAAUAACAAUCGCUGACUUAUCAUUACCACUGUAUGACCUAUGAGCGACGGUUGUGAGGAAAAAAAUAGUGGCUCGCGUCUGAAAAACUAAACAAAGCAAAUGAUGAUAACGUUAUUCUAAUAAUCGUUUGAAUGCGCUCAACUGCAGUAAACUUCCUGAUAUAAAGGUAGAUUAACCCGCUACAAGUCAAGGCCAACACCUAUUUCCAAAGAUAUCCGUUGCUAGAAAAGCAAAAGCGAUGAGGAGAUGCGUAUUCAUUCGAAUCGGAAAUUCCAUUAGAAAAAUAUGCCGUGAGUCUUUGGUUUAAAAAACUUUAAGAAGGAACUCAUAAAAAAUCGACUCUCGUGGAAAAAUCCGCUGUCGAAAAAUUAAGAACUACGACAGAAGCCGACCUAUGUCAAGGAGGUUUGGUAUUAACACGCAGGUUUGGUGUACGUAAGAGCACCAUGGUCGCAUACAUUAAGCGAGCUGGACAAACAGAUGCCGCGGAGAAUAAAAACCUCACUUCACUAUGCUCUAAUGUUAUAGCAGUAACAUAUUCUACUUCACCAAUUGCGACCCGUUAAAGUGUACUAUAGAUAAUGAUGAACGACUUCAGCUUUAAGCAGCCAUGAUUAAUGAACCGGGUGAAGUCUCUUUUGUUACGCGACAGGGUUCGAUCUCACACCGCUAUAGUUAGUUUCUGUCACCGGCCAUGCUUACCCGCCCAGAUAACCAUUUCUUCAGAAAGAUUUUUUAAACUUUCGCAUGAUGUCGUAAAUAAAUUUCUUCGAGAAGUUCCAUAGACCCCAAACAACCGGAACAGAUCCGGGCUGACCUGUUUAUCAUACCUGACAUCAAUGAUGCCACAUAGAAGUCAAGUGUUAUGAUUCAGAUCGCUCGAAAAAGCCAGACGGGCUCGGCAUAAAAUCAAAUCGUCGUCUGCGUUAGCGGGCCGAAAGGCGAUGGCAGCGACAGAAGUAGAAUUUCCUGUAACACCAGUUCGAGCAUUUGACAUCGUCGUAAUUACAAACGAAGAACUUAUUCAGUGGAAAACUCGACAAGUACAUAUAGUUUAUUUGUUUUAUCAUUACAAAUGUACUUAGCACUUAACCA